GACUUCUGGUUUAAUGCACCUGGCCCGCGGCUCUUUAGGCUUGUGAGUGCCGGCGCGUUUACCAUCCCUACCCUUAACUGGGCCGGAUUCGGGAUCCAGAUCAUUUACUUUGAAAAAAUUUGAGUGUUAAAGCAGGCUUUUGCUAUGAAUACAUUAGCAUGGAAUAAUAAUCUAGGACUUCGGUUCUAUUUUGUUGGUUUCUGUAACUGAAGUAAUGAUUGAUAGGGAUAGUUGGGGGUGCUAGUAUUGGCCGGUCAGAGGUGAAAUUCUUGGAUUCGGUCAAGACUAACUUAUGCGAAAGCAUU
rnacentral:rRNA from 1 species